GACGAACGCUGGCGGCGUGCUUAACACAUGCAAGUCGAACGGAAAGGCCCUGCUUUUGUUGGGUGCUCGAGUGGCGAACGGGUGAGUAACACGUGAGUAACCUGCCCUUGACUUUGUGAUAACUUCAGGAAACUGGGGCUAAUACCGGAUAGGAGCUCCUGCUGCAUGGUGGUGGUUGGAAAGUUUCGGCGGUUGGGUAUGGACUCGCGGCUUAUCAGCUUGUUGGUGGGGUAGUGGCUUACCAAGGCUUUGACGGGUAGCCGGCCUGAGAGGGUGACCGGCCACAUUGGGACUGAGAUACGGCCCAGACUCCUACGGGAGGCAGCAGUGGGGAAUAUUGCACAAUGGGCGGAAGCCUGAUGCAGCAACGCCGCGUGCGGGAUGACGGCCUUCGGGUUGUAAACCGCUUUCGCCUGUGACGAAGCGUGAGUGACGGUAAUGGGUAAAGAAGCACCGGCUAACUACGUG
rnacentral:rRNA from 1 species